UUCCGCAAAGUGCUUGUAGGUAGGUUCAGGGAACCCAAUUCCAACCAAUAUGAUGUUAUUAAAGUUUAUUUUGAGCCCUGUCCAUAUACUUGCUGGCCAAUGCAUCCAUCCAACUUUACAUAAUUGCGGCAUAUACCAGCUGGCUCUGUCGGCCCGGCUUAUCUACAGUGCUAUACAAAGGCAAAAAGCAACAUUUUCUUUUUAAAGAAUAAACGAAACAUUG
rnacentral:lncRNA from 1 species